rnacentral:tRNA from 1 species
AAUGAGGUGCCUGAAAAAAGGAUUAUUUUGAUAGAAUAAAUCAUGUGAUAAAACACCCUUAUUA